UCUCCGUAGGUGAACCUGCGGAGGGAUCAUUACUGAGUGAGGGUCUCCGGGCCCGACCUCCAACCCCAUGUGAACCAAAACCUGUUGCUUCGGGGGCGACCCUGCCAUUCGGCGCGGCGCCCCCGGAGGCUCAUCAAACACUGCAUCUUUGCGUCGGAGUCUUACUGAAUUUAAACAAAACUUUUAACAACGGAUCUCUUGGUUCUGGCAACGAUGAAGAACGCAGC
rnacentral:misc_RNA from 1 species